CCUACGGGAGGCAGCAGUGGGGGAUAUUGCACAAUGGGGGAAACCCUGAUGCAGCGACACCGCGUGGGUGAAGAAGUAUUUCUGUAUGUAAAGCCCCAUCAGCAGGGAAGAAAGACGACGGUACCUGACUAAGAAGCCCCGGCUAACUACGUGCCAGCAGCCGCGGUAAUACGUAGGGGUCGAGCGUUAUCCGGAUUCACUGGGGGUAAAGGGAGCGUAAACGGGCGUGCAAGACAGGGGUGACAGCCCGGGGCCCCCCCCCGGGACGGCUCUUGGAACUGUGCGGCUGGAGUGCGGGAGGGGCAGGCGGAAUUCCUGGUGUAGCGGUGAAAUGCGUCGAUAUCAGGAGGAACACCGGCGGCGCAGGCGGCCUGCUGGACCGCGACUGACGUUGAGGCUCGAAAGCGUGGGGAGCGAACAGGAUUAGAUACCCUUGUAGUC
rnacentral:rRNA from 1 species